rnacentral:rRNA from 1 species
CACGUAGGGCGCAAGCGUUGUCCGGAAUUAUUGGGCGUAAAGGGCGCGUAGGUGGUUCUGUAUGUCUACCGUGAAAGCAUACAGCUCAACUGUAUUUUGUCGGUAGAAACUGCAGGACUUGAGGCUGGGAGGGGCUGGUGGAAUUCCCUGUGUAGCGGUGAAAUGCGUAGAGAUGGGGGAGAACACUCGUGGCGAAGGCGGCCAGCUAGACCAGUUCUGACACUGAGGCGCGACAGCGUGGGGAGCAAACAGG